GUUUAGGCUUAGUGUUUAGGCAUGUAUAGAAGGCUAUUUUGUUUUUCUUGUUGGAUUUAUUUAAUUUAGUGCUGUUAAUUUGUUUUCCUCACCCCCUUUGUAAUGCAAGUAAGUAGGUUAGUUAGACGUCUGUCGAAGAUACAUGUACAUUUUAUAUAUUUAUAAGUCUAUGCACACGUUUACUUGUAAUAAAUACCUGUGUGACCUUCAGCAUUCCUAGUUUUUUAGCAUUUUGUAACAUUCUCUACUGUAAAAACUAAUCUGUUUAUAUUUUACCAUUGUUACAUGUAACAAAGCAUUUUGUAAGGACACUACUAAGACUUGGACACCGCAUGUCAACUGGCAGUGGUCAUAGGCCUGCAUAGCAGUCCCCUUUCACCUGAGGAUGUAGCAGUAUUUGAAAGAAACGUGAAAGUGCCUUCUCUUCAUACUUGAAACAAGUAACAUGUAUCUUUCGCUAAAGGAAGGAUUUGCAUGAUAGAAAUGCAAUUCCUUGAAUGCAUUAGGAAGUAACACAAUCAGAAAGGCUUGCUGUGAUAACAACCUAGGAUUGGAUGGACAAACUAUUUUAUUUCCAAAAAUGCCUCUAAGGAGCUGAUUGAAAAAUUCAUUGGACAUAAAAUGUUAACAGUGGUUUCCAUUAAAACAUAAAGAUGAACAUGAGGAGGUAAAUCAAGAAGACAAACAAGUAAGAAGGAUUCGAAACCUGGAGAUGUGAAGCCCCGUUAAUGGUUUUUAGGAAAAACAUGCAGUCCAAUUCACACUGGUGUACAUAAGUUUGCGCAAAUGACGUUUAUUUCUUCUGCUCUGUGGCUCAUUUCACCAUCGAUGGUAUUGGUAUUUCUUUCAAAAGUAUCUGUUGUUAGAGGCAGUUCUCUGCUGUCAACGAUUACGAAUAAAACUCGAGCACCUUCGGUAUUCGUCGAGAUUGUUCAACAAAUGCAAAAGAAAUAAAGUUCAGUUUGGUCCAACUGAAACAACCAAUGUCUACUUGGGCAGCAUCUUUCCUGGAUUGUAUUCAUGAUUAGCUGUUUACAUCUUUGCCUUGCAACAUUAUGAAGUUAAUUUUCAACUGAUGUGUGAGAGCAACUGGAGAUUAAUUUGAAUUCCAUGGAAACAACAAAUUUUCUGCGAUGGUAUCUCUGCCGGAUUUGUUUUGCUUUUUACACCUUCAAAGUUUGGAACGUUACAGUCUACAGUUAAUUAAGAUCGACGCUGAAGAAGACAAAGAAGACCCCGUAGUUAA
rnacentral:lncRNA from 1 species